CCUACGGGAGGCAGCAGUGAGGAAUAUUGGUCAAUGGGCGGAAGCCUGAACCAGCCAAGUCGCGUGAGGGAAUAAGGCCCUACGGGUCGUAAACCUCUUUUGCCGGGGAGCAAGGGCCGGGACGAGUCCCGGUCCGGAGCGUACCCGGAGAAAAAGCAUCGGCUAACUCCGUGCCAGCAGCCGCGGUAAAACGGAGGAUGCGAGCGUUAUCCGGAUUUAUUGGGUUUAAAGGGUGCGUGGGCGGGCUUUUAAGUCAGCGGUAAAAAUUCGGGGCUCAACCCCGUCCGGCCGUUGAAACUGGGGGCCUUGAGUGGGCGAGAAGAAGGCGGAAUGCGUGGUGUAGCGGUGAAAUGCAUAGAUAUCACGCAGAACCCCGAUUGCGAAGGCAGCCUUCCGGCGCCCUACUGACGCUGAGGCACGAAAGUGCGGGGAUCGAACAGGAUUAGAUACCCCAGUAGUC
rnacentral:rRNA from 1 species